ensembl:snRNA U6 U6 spliceosomal RNA
GUGUUCACUUCAGGAGCACAUAUACUAAAAUUAGAAUGACACAGAGAAGAUUAGUGUGGUCUCUGCGCAAGGAUGUUAUGCAAAUUUGUGAAGUGUUCAGCAUUUUU